AUGCUCUGCUUACACCUGAGCUUUUCCAAGGCAGGCACCAUGCCAGAUUCCUCUGUACCCAUGGAGGCUGCAUGCAGCAGUACAAAUAUGGUAUGUGAGUGUGCUGUAAUACAGGAAAAUAGAGAGAUGUGGGAUUGUCAAAGAAUCCUUAAUCCAGCCAAGGUCAAGAAAGGUUUCCAGUGGGCAGUGAAUCCUGAGCUGAACAAACAGGAUUGGUCAGGUAGAACAAAGGCAGUGAAGGGUGCAAGGAUAUUAGAACUCUGUUCUGUGAGCUUUCAUGAACGCUGUGGAAGGAUCCAGGCAAGAUGGCCUCAAAUUAAGAUUUUAAUGACUCUUUGGUUUAGAAAGCACACUCUUGUUGUUAAUGCUAUCUUAUCAGGUGUCUUUUUUAAUUUACAGAUGAAAGUUUAAAAAAUUCAUAAUUACACAAACACUUGCCUCUGUGUGUUUGCAUGUAUGUGUCUGUUAAGGAAGAAAUGCAUAGUGCCUACAGGAAGUAAGGGCAAAAUAAUUUCAAGGACUGAGAGUUUCUGGAAUUACCUUAUGGUAAAGGCAAUUAUGUGCUGCAUUUUAACAAGGUUAAAAGCAUCCACACCCAAAUACUGACUCAAGGAGACUCUGGGCCCCACAAGACCUUGUGAGUUUCAAAUGUACAUAUAAAUGUUAUACUUUGGGGGUUAAAAUGUUUUAUUUACAAAUGAGCAAAGAAUGAUUGAUCUUGAUGAAAGACAUUUAAACAGAACCCUAGCUGAUAAAAAUUUCUGGCAGUAACCAUCAUUUGGUCAGUGUUUGAUCUUCGGUAAUAGAAGUAAGUUUUGAUGCAGAUGGUGAUGAUGUGGGGUGGUUUUAGAUACAAGCACAUUUUUUUUUUUUGCACUCCUCCUAUCACGACAGAAAUAACAGUAAGUAAAUGCCGUCAGCUUUCUAUGACAUGCAACUUUUCAUCCAAGCAAAAUAUAACAUACCUAGGACCUCAAAGAAAUUUAAUAAUGUUAGUAUUCUUGUGAUUUGUUAGACCUUUUCCACAAACACCUAUAGAAACUAUAUAUGUUUGCCUGGAGAUUUAAGGUAACAGGCUUAUACUCGCAACAAGAUGAAUUUUUAUUAAAUGUUAGGCAGACACAUUGUGCUGAUGCUGGAAACUGUUUCUGAGACAGUAUAUGUAGAAUGUCUUCUAUGGAUAUUUUCAAGACCUCUUUAAAUACCUACAUCUGUUUGUAAAACUUUCAGCAUAGAUCUGUAGGAGGCAGGUGAAUGAACUAUAUGAACUGGGAAGACUGUACCAACUUUGGAUAUCCCCCAAAAAAUGCAGCUGUCUAUUUAAAGUAUACUAAAAUGACACCUUUAAGGAGCAAGGGUGGUGAUGACUGGCGACUAUCAUAGGUUUGGCAGCAACAUUUUUAGACCUACAAACAUGGUUGUGAAGCUGUGUUAUCCCUGUGGGAAACUAUUCUUUUGAAUGCCCUUUUUUUUUAUUCUCCAGUAAAGAAAUACAGGAGCUGUCUUUAAGAUAAAACUAUAAAAAGAACCUUUAAGUUCAACUAUAUGAGGUUCAGGCUGACAUAGAGGUUCAAUAUUUAGUUUGGUUAAUUAAAUCCCAUUCUUUGCCCUGAAUUUAAUUAUUCCAACCAAUGUGGUAACUUAAUAUAAUAAUAAAAAAGAGGUUAAUUAGAAAUAGAAGAGAAUCAGACUAUUUGUUCAUCUGGCUCAGUGGGGGCAUUUCAUGAAGUGUCAGUUUAUGGAUGGCAAUGUUUCACAGAGUAUGAAUUUUCAGUUAGUGAGAAAAUGAAAAUGAAAGACAGUAGAUCAUCAAUGAGUGAUUGUAUCAGGAAAUCACUAAAAAGCUAAUCUGUAAAGUUCAGGGCAUAUUUUAAAGUGACUUCAUGAUAAUAUAGAUAGUUUUUCUUUCCCUAGGUUGAGCUUAAAUCAUAUUCUUAAGACAUAAUGAGUAAUUCCUUGUUUAGACUUUCUAUUCAAAGGUAAGAAAGCCACAUAUUUGCUACUUUUAAACAAAAAUAAAAAGGUGACCUUUCUUUCUUGGCUGUCACUUUCAAUGCAAAUGAUCUGCUUUCUUAAUAUUGCUCAAGUUCUGCAACCUCAAUGUUGAGGUGCUGUGCAGUAGAAUCAGACUUGGACUCAAAUCACAGCUGGAAACUUGCUUGUGGUGUCAAGUUACUAUUCUUAUUGCGCCUCAGUCUUGUCAUCUGUGAAAUGAGGAUAAUGUUGUCUAUACCCCUUGGGUUGCUGAGAAUAAAGUGAGAGAAUGUAGGGAAUACCAUACCAUACCGCCUGCUUGUUACACAAUAGAUGCUCUGCAAAUGGUGGUUCCCUGUCCUCUGAACAAGUCACAAGCCUUCUUAUAAAUGAAUAACAGAUGCUAAUGUAACAACACCAAAGGUAAGGCCAAGUGUUCUGGUUUAGCCACCAGGGCAGUGCUCCUCAAACUUGAAAGUACCAGUGAUUCAUUCACCUGGGAUCUGGUUAAAUGCAGAUUCUACAUUUCUAACAAGCUUCCAGAAGAUGCUGAUACUACUGGUUGGGGACCACCACACUUUUAAUAGCAUGGAACCAGAACAAUGACUUCUGAAUAUCGAACUGACUUUAAGAGACUGGACUAAGUUGUAAAAUAGAAUUUUACUCUGCCUUUUUUUUCCUGGUUUAAUGAUAAAAAUAAUGGGGAAAUCUGAAGAUGGUACAUAUAAAAAGUUUGAAUAAACACAUUUAAAAAUUUGGGAAGUCAGAUCCAUUCUACACACUUUCAUUUAUUGUCUGGACAGAUAAAGUACAAAUAAUUCAAACACAACAAGAUUAUGAAAAAAAAACAGUUACAAUACUUUCCCUUGGAAAUCAUCUAAACUAGCAAGAUUAACAUGAAGUCAUUCAUUAAUAACUAAAGUAUACAACUGCCUGGUCCUAAGAUUUUUUUUCCUUUUUUUUUCCCCCCAAGAUUGAACACGUUAUAGAGAAGAUUUUGGCAUGCCUUUUUCCCACUAAUGCUUAGCAAAUGCGUCAAAACUUUGCCAGCAAACUGCGUUCAUUCAUAGCAGGUGACGUUAAAAGAUUUUCCUGAAUGUUGAACAAGUGUUCUCCAAACUGAAAUCUGGUGUUAUAUAUCCAAAACCAAAAAGAGGAAAAAAAACAGAAAAAAAAUUGAAAGGAGGAGUCUCUGAUGCAGCCUUGGUAUUCGUUAUCUGUCUACCACUACAACGACUACUACAAAGUUUGCCUCUUCAGUGUGAAAACAACAGUCCUGUCUACAUGCACUUAGUGGGUUCAGCAUGGGAAAAAAUGCACAAAAUAAGCACAAGUUAUAAAUAACCAUAACGUUUUAUUACCAUUAAGACUAAACUUGUAUUGAAAAGAUUUUAUAUAACAAGACAAGAAAAGCAAUAGCAAAUUUAACUAUCAACUAGAUUAUGCAUAGCGAGUAACUGUUUCUAUUACCCAGGGAAGAGCAUGAACCCUUGUAUUUUUUUGUUUUGUUUUUGUUUUAAAUAUAUAACCGUACAAAGCACAAACAUACUAAAAUGAUCAGUGCACUGGACGUGGGAGAGUGCUCCCUCAGUCAUUUUGUUCCCUUAGCUCUGUUUUGUUUUCCCCAAUCUGAGUUACAUUAAAAUAAAGACUCAGUUGUUUUUAUUUUUCUACUGUGCAGUAAGAAAAAAUAUUCACAACAAACAUGACAAUAUAUCAAACAAUAGUUCUACACAAGUUACCUUGAUACCUCUUUAACUGUCACUUAAAUAUCAUAAGAAAACAUUUUAAGACAUAUACAAACAAAACUAGCCAAGUGUUACAACUUAUAAUAAAUUAACCCAAAGAAAAAAAUAACUUUAUAUAUAUAUAUUUAUAUUGUAUAUACACAUACACACACAACAGAAUGACACAAUAAUAUGCUUCUUCCCAUAGUUUAAGUAAACAAAUAAGUAGUCUAGCCAAUCUAGCUAUAUUUGAUCUCGGCCAUAGGCAUCAUCACAUCUGCGAUUAAAUAAAUAAGUGUUUCAAGCAACAUAAACAGUGGUUUCAAAUGUACCAACACAGCCCAAUUCUAUCAGCAUGGGCUACAAAGUGAAUUUGAAAAUUUCUUAAUGAAUUUAAAGCAAAUGUAUCUUUUGUUUUCCUCUCCUAAACACAUUACAUUUAACUAUGAUACUAAGAUAUGUAAAUAAUUUUGUAGCACCUACUGCUCAAACUAAGGAAGUUUUAGAUCAAAAGGAAAAUUAAUCUUUUUAAUUUUUGUUCUGCUGACAUCCCAUACUGAUGACUUAAAGAAAAACUGUCUUUCAACUCAUCUCCUUGCUUUUGGGUUUUGACUGUGGGGAACUGUGGUACCCUGGGUAGAACGAACACUCCUUUCCCCUAGUAAUUAAUAAUUGUUUUUUAAUUAUUAUUACAUGCUAUGAAAAGAUAUGAAGAUCAUCUGUUUAUAGCCCAUCCUUCAAAAAACAGUCUACGAAUCCAGUUUAAAACACACAUCUUGAUCUCUAAAAAGUUACCAGUGCAGUAUGAACGCGACAAAGUUGUCAAUUUCCCCUAAAUUAGCCAGUCAAAAUAUUUUUUUCUCAAAUCCAGAUUCUCUUGUAAAAAUUCUUUAUAUUUUAUAAAAAUAGAUUUUUCUUGAAACCCAUUUUCAGCAAAGAGACCACCUCUUUGGCAACAAUGUUAAUGUUAUUAAAUUGUUAAUGUCAUCAGGUAUCCCCCUUGCCCCCAUCCCCUAACAGAAGACUGUUUUAGUUCACAUGAUAUAAAAGAAAAAAGGAAAAAUAAAAAAAUUUGCAAAAGUUGUUUUUUUUUUUUUUUUGCAAUUUUUAUUAUUCCUCUUUAAUUUGUGUGGGGGUUUUUACCAAUCUGAUUGGAUCAACAUUUUGACAAAAAAGAAAAAUCUUUUUUUCCUUUCUUUGAAUCCCAUUACUUUGUAAAAAUUGUUUCAUUUUUAUUAUUUUUUUUGUUUUUUGUUUUUCUUCUUCAAAUGAGCGAAUGGUCAUCUUAAAAAGACCCACCUUCAAGGAAGGUAGUAAAGUUAGCUGGCUGGGUAAAAAUCCCUGCACAUCGCUAUCUAUGUAUAUUAUAUUCAACAACGACAGCUAUGAAAGAACAUUCAAUGCAUCAAAGGUAUUUUUUUGUUUUUUUUUUCUUUUUUUUCUAAGCAUUAUAAAAUCCUUUCCUGGUACACCUCAGGAUAAUCCAAUGUUUUAAUACUUAGGCAACACUGGCUUAUAAAGUCCAUGGUUGAAUAUAAGCCUUGUAAAGUUUGUUUCUCUCUCUUUUGUGUAUGUGUGUGUGUGCGCGCAUGUGUUUUGUUCGUAUAUAUUUAUAUAUAUAUUUU
rnacentral:lncRNA from 1 species